UUAUAUGGUCAAGAAGAGAAGCGCAAACGGUGGAUGCCUUGGCAGUAAGAGGCGAAGAAGGACGUGGAAUCCUGCGAAAAGCUAUGGGGAGCUGGAAACGAGCGUUGAGCCAUAGAUGUCCGAAUGGGGGAACCCGGCUGCAGCGAUGCGGUCAUUUGCAUUUGAAUACAUAGGAUGCAAAGGCGAACUCGGGGAACUGAAACAUCUAAGUACCCGAAGGAAAAGAAAUCAAGAGAGAUUCUCCAAGUAGCGGCGAGCGAACGGGGAGGAGCCUGGCGUGAUUUAUUAUUGAACUGAGUAGAACAAUUUGGGAAAGUUGGCGAUAGAGGGUGAAAGCCCCGUAUACGAAGGUUUGAUGAGGAACUAGGCACGCGAACAAGUAGGCCGGGACACGUGAAAUCCUGGUUGAAGAUGGGUGGACCAUCAUCCAAGGCUAAAUACUACUUACUGACCGAUAGUGAAC
rnacentral:rRNA from 1 species